GCGGCGUGCUUAACACAUGCAAGUCGAACGGGGUUAGGCGGAAAGUUUACUUUUUGCCCAACCUAGUGGCGGACGGGUGAGUAACGCGUGGAUAACCUGCCCAUCAGCCUGGGAUAACGCCGGGAAACCGGUGCUAAUACCGGAUACGCUCACCGGGUUGCAUAGCCUGGUGAGGAAAGGGUAUCCGCUGAUGGAUGGGUCCGCGUCCCAUUAGCUUGUUGGUAGGGUAACGGCCUACCAAGGCGACGAUGGGUAGCCGGCCUGAGAGGGCGACCGGCCACACUGGAACUGAGACACGGUCCANACUCCUACGGGAGGCAGCAGUGGGGAAUCUUCCGCAAUGGGCGCAAGCCUGACGGAGCAACGCCGCGUGAGCGAAGAAGGCCUUCGGGUUGUAAAGCUCUGUCCAGGGGGAAGAAGAACGUGACGGUACCCCUGGAGGAAGCCCCGGCUAACUACGUGCCAGCAGCCGCGGUAAAACGUANGGGGCGAGCGUUGUCCGGAAUU
rnacentral:rRNA from 1 species